rnacentral:lncRNA from 1 species
UGUGCCCUCUUUUUUGUCACAGACCUCAGUGGCAUUUGUGAUAUUUUGUCCCAUCUGCUUUUGGCUUUGCCUUUAUCCUUUUCUUUGCCCUAUACUUGUUGGCUGAAGGAUAAAACUGCUUUUUGGCACUGGUGUGACAUUUUUUUUAAAAAAAUAGAAAAACGGGCCAAUAUUUUUCCUUGGUGACUUUAGAGCUCUGUGAGUGAGCAGCGGAGGAGACUGGGCGGGUCGCAGAGGGCGCUGUGGGCGAGUUCCCCA